rnacentral:rRNA from 1 species
GAUGAACGCUGGCGGCGUGCUUAACACAUGCAAGUCGAACGAAGCAUUUGCGACAGAUUUUUUCGGAAUGAAGUUGCUUAUGACUGAGUGGCGGACGGGUGAGUAACGCGUGGGUAACCUGCCUUGUACUCGGGGAUAGCAGCUGGAAACGGCUGGUAAUACCGCAUAAGCGCACAAUGUUGCAUGACAUGGUGUGAAAAACUCCGGUGGUAUAAGAUGGACCCGCGUCUGAUUAGCUAGUUGGUGAGAUAACAGCCCACCAAGGCGACGAUCAGUAGCCGACCUGAGAGGGUGACCGGCCACAUUGGGACUGAGACACGGCCCAGACUCCUACGGGAGGCAGCAGUGGGGAAUAUUGCACAAUGGAGGAAACUCUGAUGCAGCGACGCCGCGUGAGUGAAGAAGUAAUUCGUUAUGUAAAGCUCUAUCAGCAGGGAAGAUAGUGACGGUACCUGACUAAGAAGCUCCGGCUAAAUACGUG